AUGGAGAAUCUAUCUCAGGUUUAAACACUUAUCCAAUUGAGGCAUCACUUGCGAUAGCCUUUCUAUUUGAAUUAUGUGUUACUGGCAAUUUUUUACAUAUUCUGAAGUCAGAAGAGAUGCCAAAUGCAUCUCAUUCUGGGCAUGUGUGUGUGAGAGGGCUGAAAUUGACGUAUCACACCUUGAAGAGUCCUUCUGUUUAAAGACUCUCAGAUAAGUGAUA
rnacentral:lncRNA from 1 species